CCUACGGGUGGCAGCAGUGGGGAAUAUUGGGCAAUGGAGGAAACUCUGACCCAGCAAUGCCGCGUGAAUGAAGAAGGUCUUCGGAUUGUAAAGUUCUUUAGUCCGGGAAGAAUAAAAUGACGGUAGCUGAAGAAUAAGCUCCGGCCAACUACGUGCCAGCAGCGGCGGUAAUACGAAUGGAGCAAGUGUUGUUCGGAAUGACAGGGCGUAAAGGGUGCGUAGGCGGUUAUACAAGUGAGAAGUGAAAUACCCAGGGCUUAACUCAGGUGCUGCUUCUAAAACUGUAAGACUUGAGUGCAUUAGAGGUUAGUGGAAUUCCUAGUGUAGCGGUGGAAUGCGUAGAUAUUAGGAAGAACACCAGAGGCGAAGGCGGCAAACUGGACUGCAACUGACGCUGAGGCACGAAAGUGUGGGGAGCAAACAGGAUUAGAUACCCGAGUAGUC
rnacentral:rRNA from 1 species